UUAUUUGGGGGAUAUUUUGUUAUGGCUGGAAUUAAUGUGUGUGUCUUUAUCAUAGAGCUAGAACUAAUGCUGGGUCCUAGCAUAUGAGUAGGAACAGGAAAGGUGGAACAGAAUCCAGGAGGAGAAAGUAGUUUGAGCAAAGAGGCCAAGGCAAGAAUGAGCACUGAGUAUCUGGAGAAUAAUAUGGAGACAAAUGAUGGAAAGUAAUGUGUAGACAAGCUGGUCAGAACUGGCUCUGAGACCUUAAUAUUUUGGAGGAAAGUGGUCAAAAGUUCAAAGUUUGAGAUUGGAAAAGUUAACUUCCUUACACUUCUAAUGAUCAUACUGGCUUCAGUUAAGCUAUAAAUUAAAAAUGGGCAUGGCUCAACAGAACUUGAGUCCUGUCCUCUCGCUUUUCUCCUUAGGCAGCAUGAGCUUCACCAUUUGCUUUACCACCUCCACCAACUACCAGUCCCUGCAUUCCAUCCAGCCACACAGCCACAGCGUCCAGUUCAUCAGCAGCACAGCCAAAGUCUAUGCAGUCCUCAGGGGCUUGGGCUCCCGGACCUCAGUGUCCUUCUCCACCAGCUUCUGGAGUGGCUGGGGGUCUGGAGGCCUGGCUGCAGGGAUGCCAGGGGUCUGGAAGGAAUGGGGUACAUCCAGAAUGAGAAGGAUACCAUGCAAGGCCUGAAUGAUUGCCUGGAUUUCCUACCUGGACAGAGUGAGGACUCUGGUGACCAAGAGUCAGAGGCUGGUGAGCAAAAUCUGAGAGCACUUGGAGAAGAAGAGACCCCAGGUCAGAGCCUGGGGGCAUUACUUCAUGACCAUCAAGGACUUGAGGGCUCAUAUCUUUGCAAAUUCUGUGGACAAUGCUUGUGUUGUUCUACAGAUUGACAAUGCCCGUCUUGCUGCUGAUGACUUUAGAGUCAAGUAUAAGACGGAGCUGGUCAUGUGCCUGUCUGUGGAGAGCAACGUCCGUGGGCUCCACAAGGUCACUGAUGACACCAAUGUCACUCGGCUACAGCUGGAGACAGAGAUGGAGGCUCUCAAGGAGGAGCUGCUCUUCAUGAAGAAGAACCAAGAGAAGGAAGUAAAAGGUCUACAAGCCCUGAUUGCCAGCUCUGAGUUGACCAUGGAGGUAAAUGCCCCCAAAUCUCAGGACCUCAGCAACAUCAUGGCAGACCUCCCGGCCCAGUAUGAUGAGCUGGCCCAGAAGAACUGAGAAGAGCUGGACAAGUACUGGUCCCAGAAGACUGAGGAACACACCACAGUGGUCACCACGCAGUCCACCAAAAUAGGAGCUGCUGAGACAACAUUCAUGGAGCUGAGAUGUAUAGUUCAGUCCUAAGAGAUCAACCUAGACUCAAUGAGAAAUCUGAAGGCCAGCCUGGAGAACAGCCUGAGGUGGGUGGAGGCCCGCUAUGCCAUGCAAAUGGAGCAGCUCAGUGGGGCCGUGCUGCACCUAGAUUCAGAGCUGGCACAGGCCCAGGCAGAAGGGCAGCACCAGGCCCAGAAGUAUGAGGCCCUGCUGAACAUCAAGGUCAAGCGGGAGGCUGAGAUUGCCGCUACUACUACUACUGCCGCCUGCUGGAAGAUGGGGAGGACUUCAAUUGUGGCGAUGCCCUGGACAACAGCAACUCUAUGCAAACCAUCCAAAAGACUGUCCAGGAUAGCGGAUGACAAAGUGGUGUCUGAGAUCAACAACACCAAAGUUCUGAGGCGCUGAGCCAGCAGAAGCAGGGUACACUUUGGGGAGCAGGAAGCCAAUAAAAAGUUCAGAAGUCAUUGGAUGUCAAAAAUAAAUUGGUCCUGUUUGGGGUCAGAAGUGUUCCAAGAAGCCCAGCAUGACAGCCAGAUGAGAAACUGACAUGGCAGAUGACACCUCUUCUCCAGGUUGCUGGAACAGUGGGUCAGAUAGACUUCUAUGUAUUUUUCUUCUCCUUAAGGAGCUCAUAGAAGGAACAAAGUGCAUCGGACAUUCUACCCUUCAUCAGUUUAUUAGUCUAAGGGUCUCUGUUUGAGCAGAUCACUAGUUCCAAAGACCAAAUAAUCUUUCUUUCUUUUUUUUUUUUUGAGAUUGAUUCUCCCUCUGUCGCCCAGGCUGGAGUGCAAUGGCACAAUCUUGGCUCACUGCAACAUUCCCCUCCCAGAUUCAGGUGUUUCUCAUGCCUCAGCCUCUGGAGUAGCUGGGAUGACAGAUGUGCACCACCACACCCAGCUAAUUUUUCUAUUUUUAGUAGCGAGGGGAUUUUGCCAUGUUGGCCAGGCUGUUAUUGAACUCCUGGCCUCAAGCAAUCCACUUGCCUCUGUCUCCCAAAGUGCUGGGAUUACAGGCAUGAGCCACCAUGCCUGGCCCCCAAUAAUCUUAAAAAAGAGUAUAGUGGCCCCAUGGUAACUCUGUCUUCUGCCCCAGAACAGCCCUGGCUGGAUUAUCCUCCUGGUAGAAAUCAAUUUUGAUCAUCCUGGCAGGAAAUCAGGAUACAGGGCAGCUUCAGACAGGAGUACCACAUCCUUCUCAGAAAUCAACCAACAUGAGAUGCUGAGUGAAAGCUGGUCUCUUGGUUAAGAGACGGAUGUAGGCAGGGCUGGUAACAAGUAGUUAGAAUCAAAGACUCAAACUAAACCUGCUAGCUAACACCAGCUUCACUGAUGGAGAUACCAGAGCAGGUAGGUUGCAGAGAGGUAAUGACAUUUGACAAUGGUCAAGAGACCAACAUGGAGGUUCUCAUUGGAGCCUCCAAAAUGGAGGCUCUCUUGUUGGAGCUACAAUGGUUUGGGGAUCAGAGCAUCUGGGCUCUAUUCUUGGCCUUUUCUCUCAAGUUCAUGACUCUAAUACAGCCCCUUCUCCCCUUUGGCAUUAGUUUUCUCAUCUAUAAGAAGGGGUAAUGAAUUUUACUCCCCAUCCCAGGUCCCCUUACUGCAGUAUGAGAAGGGUGAGAUAGGGACUAUUUUAAAGGGCUGUGAGAGAGUCUCCAGAGAGGGCUGUGAUGAACAUCUGUAUUCCUCAUGGAAUGGACAGCCCAGGAGGAUGGUACAUUUAAGUAAGACAAAGCAAGACUCUUCUAAUGGUAAGAGAUGUAAGACCAGUAAAUUGGAUCACGUGCCCUGGAUGAUAUGUAAUUCCCUCAUAGUGCUCUAGCCUCAAAAUCCCAAAUAUUGGUGAGGAUCUCCCAAAGCUGCUAAUGUCAAAAACUUUGAUUUUACUGUAGUUAAAGUGAUGGAAAUCAUUAGCUUUAAAUUACUGGGGAAAUAUAAAAGAUGAUUUGAGGGGUAAGCUCUAUCAAUUAUGUACUUAAGCAAGAACCAGACUCAAGAUCAGGAAAAAAAAAAUAAAUAAAACCAAAUACGUUCAUAAUUAG
ensembl:lncRNA novel transcript